GAUCAGCUGGGGACGUCUGUCUCUCCUCCCCACCCAGGAUCAGCUCACUAUCUGUAUCCCUGGUGCUCCGGCGGCCAUCUCCAGAUGUGUGUGAAACUGAAAAUUUUGAAUCACCAGUGCGUGCAUUCCGCUUUGAGACUGAGCACAUUGGGCCCUGCCUUUUCCUUCUGCACACAUCUGUCCUUCCUGUGGUCACCAGUGCCAGGGAGAAGUCCCGGCUGAGCGGGGUUCCAGCUGAUGCCAACAUUCUCUAUCUCCUCACCAGGUCACCAGUGCCAGGGAGAAGUCCCGACUGAGCGGGGUUCCUUGAAUCUGGCUGGAUCCAGCGAUGUUCCGAUGAGCCUUGCUCCUGUCACGUGGAUUUCCAGUGUGUUUGGGAGACCUGGCACAUGCCCUUCCCCUCACAGAGGGUUACGCCACACUGUGAAUCAGAGAGUUGAAGUUCGGGGCUGGGGAGGUGGCUCAGGAGGUAAAGGGCCUGCUGUGCAAGGCUGAGGACCUGAGUUCAGAUCCCCGAUCUCCAUGUGAAAAGCCGGUUGUAGUGGCACAAGUCUGUGAUGUCAAGUUUGGGUCCUGGCACAGCCUAGCUGAGACAGGGAUCUCUGGAUUCGCUGAGAGGCCCACCUCAAGAAAUAAGGCAGAGUUUGAUACUUAACCUCUGACUCAUGCAAACACACAUCUACACACAAACAUGUGUACACACUUAAAAAAAAGAAGGAAAAUUAAAAAAUUUCUAAUUAACAACAACAACAAAAAGGGGGCUGGAGAGAUGGUUCGGUGCUUAAGAAUGGUCGGUAUACCUGCAGAGGACAGAAGUUUAGUUCCCAGCACCCAUGGCAGAUGGCUCACAACUGUCUGCCACAACUGCUCACAGGACACAGACUCCUUCUUCUGAUCUCUGUGUGUGAGUGCACACACACACACACACCACACACAUGUGCACACACAUACAUCACACACACGUAUGUGCACACACAGGACACAAAUAAGAAUAAAACAAAUCUUUAAAAAUAAAACAGAAAACAGAUAAGCCCUGUUAGUUUUGUUGGGCUCCCAUCUCCCUUUUACAUUAGCUUUUAUUACCAUCCAAGCAUCUUAAUGAAUCCACUCAAUGAUGGGUAGAACACAUGUGUCUGCAUCAUAAGUUCCUGUCCAGUUCUUUAUGUAAUCUGAGCCCUGCAGUGUGGGUCUCUCUCUGCCCCACCUCACAUGCCAGCUCUAGGUGUCCUAAAAUCUUGGUCAUGGUCAUGCUAUGUCUGCCCUUCUAGGGCAGUUCUUCAGCUGUGGUCUAAUACAGGGGCUGGUCUGGGCAGGGCUGUCCUUUUCUUCCUAGACUCUAUCCUAGGAUCCACCUUUCCUUUCUUAGUGCCAGUGUCCUUUGCAGAGCAAAUACAGAGGUGAGGCUACUGCCAGCCAUAAACAAGGUGAGACAAAACAAAACAAAAACAAACAAACAAAAACUAAAGAGGGGUCAGGUAGGCACUGAGAAGGUAGCUUAGUGAUGGGGGAAUUUAGCUGACAUGUGCAAGGCCCUGGGUUCAAUCCCCAGCAUUGGAAAAAAGAAAGAAAUGAGAGAGACAGAGAGAGGAAGCUAUAGAUAGAUAGGUAGAUAGAUAGAUAGAUAGAUAGAUAGAUAGAUAGAUAGAUAGAUAGAACUGAACAGGAACCUAGAAUUUCCCCAUCUCUGUCGGGCAUCUUUACCUUGAACCAGAGCCUCCUGCAGCAGGAGUCGGAGGCAGUUAGAUCCUCUUAUACCGGAAGAUCUCUCUGUCUGUCUCUCUCUGUCUCUCUGUCUCUCUCUGUCUCUC